ACUUAGACCUCCGCAGCUCCGUUGUGUGGAUAGUCCUGUCUCUGGCCGGGCGGGACGGUUCGUGAAUC
rnacentral:ncRNA from 1 species